GGGGCGAAGGAACUGGUACAUUCCAUAUCCAUUUUUCAUGCUGAAAUCUCAAAUAGAAACUGAAAAAACAGGGACCUGUCCCCAAAUCUCAAAUAGAGCUGCCAUUCACGGUUUCAAGGAUCAGGGAAAUGGAAGUAAAGCCAGAUUCAAGAAAAAUGAGAGAGAAGAACCCUAGAGAAAUGAACAGUCGACUCACACUCCUCAUUCUACAAUCAUCACAAAGAGCACAAUGACAUAGCUGGCGUGGGAGACUACAUGGGAGACUACAACCUACUCUAGUGCAUCAAAAUAUGAACAAUAUAUCAAAAUAAAUACAAAAGCAAUAUGGGUGCAAAAAGUGCUAUGAGCAAAGGGUGCCGUCUCAAGCAGGAGAUGAAAUCGUAGCGGCUGAUCAUACCGUCAUUAUCCUCAUCAAACAAAAUAAAGAGCCCGUGAAUCUGUAUACACCACAAGAAAC